GGGGGCGGCCCGGCGUGGUCGCGUUGCACGCCCCGUGCGCCCCGGGAACCCGAUGGCGCGUGCGUGGCGGCGUCUGGCUCAUGGAGCCCGCCCGGAGGGACGUGCGCGGGGGGUGCCGGUGGCGCGCGCCCGGGGCUGCGAGAGGCCUGCCCGUGGGCUCCAGGCGCCCCUUUGGGCAGUUGCUCAAAGCACGUGGUGACGUUUCUCACUGUUCUGUGGCUCUGUGGGCGCGUGUAGGGGGAGGGCCGCUGUCUGCGGAAAUGACGCGAGGUCGCGCGCCCCUUGAGCUUUUGUAACUUAAAUUUGUCGAAUUCACCGGGAGGUUCCCGCUCACGUGCCGCGGUAGUGGCUCUUUCGGGGUCUCCCCCGUGCUGGGUUUGAGGGAGGCGGCCUGUGUUCUGGCACAGCCUCCGUGUCCCCUCCAGAUGAAAGCCGAGGAGGCCCCGCCAGUUCCGCUAGACCGCUGUCACCCUUGCGUCGCGCGAGGACGCUGGCUGUGCCUCUGACGCCUCUUCCCGGAGGUGGGACUGGACGUGCCUGUCCUCUGGGCUCUCGCCGCGGACCGAGGCCUGGGGUGCGUGCUGGUCCACCCGUCACAUCGAGACGCGGGAGCGCCUUUGGCCGCCCGAGCGUCAGCGUGGUUUCUGGUGCGGGCGAGGGGUCGCGCUUCCUGCUCCGCGGCGCACGGUUGAAUUCUUUUUGUUGCCCAAGUGAUGGUUUGUAAGUUCUAUCUCGAUCGCAUCUUUAACUAAUUUUAUAGAAAUUCUGUGUUCACGUGCUUGUAUUUGGAUGGGUGGAUACCAAGCCGGUCCUUUGAAAAUAAUUUGUCAAAGCCUGUUUUGUUUCUGAGCGACGUGCGGCCGCGCGGGGGCUUCGUGGACGGCGGACGGAGCUCGUCUCCCGCGUGCGGUGCGGUGCGGUGCGGUGCGGUGCGGUGCGGGGGGCACCGGGGUCCCGUCGCGGCGCGAGGAGGCGAGCCGGGAGCGCGCCGGGCCCGGGGCUGAGCUGCCGGAUCGGGCGCGCCGUCGGGGGAGUGGUCCGCGGGGGCCCCGCGGCCGCCCUCGUGUGCCAGGCGGGUCCCGCCGCGGCCGCGCUGCCGGGGGCUUCGCGGGCACCGGCGCGGAGCGCCCCUCCUUCCGCCGGCCGGCCUCUGAGCGGGGCCCCGCAGGUUUCUGGCGCUGCCGCGGCUCCCGCAGGAGCGUCCGCGAGCCGGGCCGCGGUCCGGAGCCUGACUGACACGGGGGUGUUUGCUUUCUUGUUCCAGACUGGCAGUAGAUACGGUGGACGCGGGAUGAGCCCUGUCGCCCUCCCGUGCGGCCCGGGAGUCUUAGUAGCACCAGGACCUGCUCCGCACGCGGGCCUGACGCUGCGCAUCCGGCUCCCAUUUCUGGCUCCACCUCACCUCCGCGCUCUCUGCGCGCCCCGGAUCGCUCGCUCCGAGCGGCGCUCUCCGCCAUCUGAGGACUCGAACUGUUCUGAACCUUGUGAUUUUUCCAAAGAUUCAUCCGUGCGCUCUGCCUUGUAGGGGUUCUUCUGGCGUCCCACAGCACGCCGCAAGAUUUCCGAGUUAGAGUGAACACAGAUCCCUUCGUUUGGAGACACUCGGCCCCCCCGGGGGCUCCCUGCUCUUGAGCUGUGGGCGGCACCGCGGGCCGGGGUUAGAGCCCCCGACUCCGCUCUUCCGGUGCCACGUCGCCUGGGGCCUGCGCUCCGUCCCCCGCUUCCUUCUUCCCUGACGCUUCUGUGAUUCCCAGAACGGGCUUCCGGGCCGGCACUUUCCUGCUUCUGGUCUCUGCUCCCGAGACUCCUGCUGUGUGCACGUGGUGUGUGUGUGCGUGGGAGAGAGAGAGGGACAGAGUCAAGGAGAGAGAGAGACUGAGGGACAAGGAGAGAGACAGAGACAAGGAGAGACAGACGAGACAGGGAGAGACACGGAGACAAAAAACAGUCAAAGAAACAGACACAGAGACAGAGAGAGACGGAGACAAGGAGAGACAGACAG